AGUUCGGAUUGUAGUCUGCAACCCGGCUACAUGAAGCUGGAAUCGCUAGUAAUCGCGAAUCAGAAUGUCGCGGUGAAUACGUUCCCGGGUCUUGUACACACCGCCCGUCACACCAUGGGAGUUGGUAACGCCCGAAGUCAGUGACCCAACCAAACGGAGGGAGCUGCCGAAGGCGGGACCGGUAACUGGGGUGAAGUCGUAACAAGGUAAC
rnacentral:rRNA from 1 species